AUUGAACGCUGGCGGCAGGCCUAACACAUGCAAGUCGAGCGGGGUUUUCGGACCUAGCGGCGGACGGGUGAGUAAUGCGUAGGAAGCUGCCCGAUAGAGGGGGAUACCAGUUGGAAACGACUGUUAAUACCGCAUAAUGUCUACGGACCAAAGUGGGGGACCUUCGGGCCAAAUGCUAUCGGAUGCGCCUACGUGGGAUUAGCUAGUUGGUGAGGUAAUGGCUCACCAAGGCGACGAUCUCUAGCUGGUUUGAGAGGAUGAUCAGCCACACUGGAACUGAGACACGGUCCAGACUCCUACGGGAGGCAGCAGUGGGGAAUAUUGGACAAUGGGCGCAAGCCUGAUCCAGCCAUGCCGCGUGUGUGAAGAAGGCCUUCGGGUUGUAAAGCACUUUCAGCGAGGAGGAAGGGUGGUGUGUUAAUAGCACAUCAUUUUGACGUUACUCGCAGAAGAUGCACCGGCUAACUCUGUGCCAGCCGCCGCGGUAAGAC
rnacentral:rRNA from 1 species